UUGACCUCGAAUCAGGUAUGACUACCCCGUGAAUU
rnacentral:rRNA from 1 species